UACGUAGGUGGCAAGCGUUGUCCGGAUUUACUGGGCGUAAAGGGCGUGCAGGCGGUCUGUUAAGUCUAGGGUGAAAGCUCCCGGCUCAACUGGGAGAGGUCCUUGGAUACUGGCGGACUUGAGGGAGGCAGAGGAAAGUGGAAUUCCCGGUGUAGUGGCGAUAUGCGUAGAUAUCGGGAGGAACACCAGUGGCGAAGGCGGCUUUCUGGGCCUUACCUGACGCUGAGACGCGAAAGCGUGGGGAGCGAACCGG
rnacentral:rRNA from 1 species